rnacentral:rRNA from 1 species
GGGUUAGUAGGCUGGUCAUGCCUCUGGUAUGUACUGGUCUUACUGACUUCUCCUUUCUGAAGAACUGUAAUGCCAUUAAUUUGGUGUUGCAGGGAAUCAGGACUGUUACUUUGAAAAAAUUAGAGUGUUUAAAGCAGGCUAACGCUUGAAUACAUUAGCAUGGAAUAAUGAAAUAGGACG